CCACCUUCCUGAGGCUUUGUACCUCUGCCACCCUGAGCAGGGAGUGGCACUUGAUCCAAAGAGAGCCUCUGAAAUGGCUGCACCCGAUAUCUCAGCAGGUUACCCCAUAGAGUGUUGAGUGGGCAACUCAAUUAUUCCCUCACCUGAAGAAGUCUGAAAGCAAGACGAAGAGAGUCCUUUUGCAAGAGUGAUGUACAAAGCCCUACGGACAUACAGACUUCGUGUGCAAGUCCUGUGGAGGAGAGGAGAUGAGAGAGCAAUCGGUUGGUGGCAUCUGGGGACAUUAAACAGUGACGUGGACACAGUGAUGGCCUGCAGUGGUGAACCAGUGAGGGAACAAGUCCUAUGGUUGGGGAGCUACCUGAGGCUGGAGAGCAGAGUACAGCCAGGCCCACAGUGGUGCAGCAUACCAGAGUCAAGGUCUCACUAGGAUGUCCAGGCUGGCCUCGAACUCCUGGGCUCAAGCAAUCCACCUGCCUUGGCCUCUGAAAGUGCAGGAAUUACAGCCUUAUCCAAAAUCUCUGGAGGUAACACCAGUGGAAGCAACCUUAGAAGAGGAAUGAGUUGGCAGGAGGCAAGAGGCAGGAAAGCACUGAGAAUGUUUCAUCAUGAGAUGUGAGCAUCAUGUUCCAGGCCCUGAGUGCUUCAUAAAAAAAAAAGUUCCUUUUCCACCAAAACAAUGCCCUGAUUUGAGUGCUUCAUCAAAAGAGAAAGAUUUCUCAUGAUAAACCAUAUUCUAAGCACUUAGAUCACAAUAUAGUAAAUUUUCAAAAGGAAGUCACUUUUGCCAAGAUAUAAAGGCUCAUGUACGUAAAUUCUAUGCUUCCAAUAUAAGUACAUUUCAAAAAUAUUAUUAAACCCUUAUUUACUGAGUGCUGCUUAUAUGCCUCCUAUUCUCACUCUUUUUUGUGGUUGAAUUUAAUCAACACACAACUCUAAGGAAUAGGCAUGACUCAUUAUUUUCAUUUUACACUUGAGGAAACUGAGGCACUCAGUGUUUUACAUAUAUAAAAAUGAGUAUGAGGUUCAGCCAAAAUUCAAAUACCGAACGUCUGGCUCCAAAGCCCACAUGGUAUUCACCAUAAAUAGAAAUUUCAUACUAGAAAUCAUAUUGUUUUCUUUCCCUCAGGAGCAAUUUAGGAAAUAAAUUAAAAACUUUAAAGUGGUGAUUUAAAGCAACUCACCUUUUUGCCAGUUAUACGUUACCUUAAGAGAAAAUUGCAAGAAAUGAGAAAGAUAAAGCUUGAUGAGGAUGACACUAUCAUGAAUCACACGAAAAGAAAAGAGGAUUAUUUAGCAUAUUGAAUAUGAAGUUGUAGAUUCAGGGCAACAUCAAGACGGAUGAACUCCCCCACCAAGCUGUUUAACAAACUGGCUCUCUGUCGAGCUGGCCAUGCCGAGUUAGUAGCAGAUCUGCAAUGAUGCCUCUACCAAGCUCACAAUUAUACAAAUGGUGAAGCAGCAGGAAAGCACAUAGAAGAGGGCUACACAGAAGAUACGAGCUCCAGUCAGGUCAUGACACAAAGCCACAGAACUUAACUGGGAAAUGAGCAAUGCUUAUGUGUCCAGCAUUGUCUUAAUUGGUUUCCCAUGCAGAGAGCUCAAAGAGCAUCCUAUCUGAUAUGCACCAGGCAACAACUGAGAACAAGGACCAGCCAAAGUCAUCAGAAGGGUAGCACAGUUGCUGCUAGCAGCUACAUCAAAAGUCUUCCCCAAAGCUCCAUUCCUCAAUGACUGCACAAAUUGCUAGAAGUUUGAGAUUGACACAGACUUUAAAGUUCAGUUAUGCCAACCCUGAUCUUCCCUUUCCAACUUGCAUGGUGUGCAGAUGUUAAAAUGAGCAGGUGUGUGGGGUGAGAAUAAAGUACCUAUGACUAGAGGCUUGGGGGUGGGGAGAGAAAGUUGCAUAAUGGACGACUGGGGGGAUUUGCCACAUAAUGGAGUGGGGAAAGAAGAC
rnacentral:lncRNA from 1 species